GCUCCCUCUGCACACACAUUCUUAAAGCACCACGGCAUUUUCCUGAGCACGUUGGUUUAUGUGGCUGAGUCCACACUCUACACAGGAAGUUGCUGAAGAACGAGGCACUGUCCUACUCAUCUGUGUAGUCCUAGCAUCUGGGCGAGCACGGAACACCUGGGAGACACUCCACAAAAUGCUGGAUGACUAAAUGAAUGACCUGUCCAAAGCCAUCCAACAAGUAAAUGGCAGAGCCAAAGCAGACCCCCCCAUCUUCCAACUUCCUGGGGGGCCAUCCGCCCUUGGGGCCAUCCCCAAGGUGGGACCACCUUGCCUCUGUCAGGGCGUAGGUGGCAUCUCAGAGACUUGAGACUCAAACUCUGUAUCCACGAUGGACUUGCCAUAGAGCCUCAGGCCGUAUGUUAAAAAAGAAACAAACAAAAAUAACAGCACAACUGUGUGCAUCCAUUUAUAGGUCUGUGAAAGAGGGCUCACACUGAAUACGGGACAUUGGACUACAGAGGAGGUGGGGGAAGAACAAGAGAAAAACCAGUUAGAUAACAGUGACAAGUACCUUCUUGAAACGCGUCUUAAUCUAAAACUGUCACACUAGUAAAUAUAAUUAGAUAACAAUAAUAAUACCAAAUACCACAGUGUAUUACCAUCCUUUCUUCGGAGGCUUUCAAUUGGAACUGAAAACACAAUUACUAAUUAAAUUAGACACCAGGAGGUAUCAUUUUCCAACUGGAACCCUAGUGAUAUAAAUGAGUUACUGCAGCUUCUCAAAUUCCUCACUGUCACUCAAAGAGGGGGUAAUUCACGUGGCUAGAGUCAACUCAGAAACACAGAUCCAUACAUUGUAUUUGUUCUUUAUUCCAAAUGCAGGUCAUUUCUGUAUUUUUCUACGUAGUUACUAAGCCACUGCUGGAUCAUAAAGAUUCUACAGCCCAGUUCCUCCCCCUCAAGGGGCUCAACCUAGCCGUGUCUCAGGCAAAAACAAAAACAA